rnacentral:rRNA from 1 species
UUAUUGGAGAGUUUGAUCCUGGCUCAGGAUGAACGCUGGCGGCGUGCCUAAUACAUGCAAGUCGAGCGAAUGGAUUGAGAGCUUGCUCUCAAGAAGUUAGCGGCGGACGGGUGAGUAACACGUGGGUAACCUGCCCAUAAGACUGGGAUAACUCCGGGAAACCGGGGCUAAUACCGGAUAACAUUUUGAACUGCAUAGUUCGAAAUUGAAAGGCGGCUUCGGCUGUCGCUUAUGGAUGGACCCGCGUCGCAUUAGCUAGUUGGUGAGGUAACGGCUCACCAAGGCAACGAUGCGUAGCCGACCUGAGAGGGUGAUCGGCCACACUGGGACUGAGACACGGCCCAGACUCCUACGGGAGGCAGCAGUAGGGAAUCUUCCGCAAUGGACGAAAGUCUGACGGAGCAACGCCGCGUGAGUGAUGAAGGCUUUCGGGUCGUAAAACUCUGUUGUUAGGGAAGAACAAGUGCUAGUUGAAUAAGCUGGCACCUUGACGGUACCUAACCAGAAAGCCACGGCUAACUACGUGCCAGCAGCCGGGGUAAUACGUAGGUGGCAAGCGUUAUCCGGAAGUAUUGGGCGUAAAGCGCGCGCAGGUGGUUUCUUAAGUCUGAUGUGAAAGCCCACGGCUCAACCGUGGAGGGUCAUUGGAAACUGGGAGACUUGAGUGCAGAAGA